rnacentral:rRNA from 1 species
UGGGGAAUAUUAGACAAUGGGCGCAAGCCUGAUCCAGCCAUACCGCGUGGGUGAAGAAGGCCUUCGGGUUGUAAAGCCCUUUUGUUGGGAAAGAAAUCCAGCUGGCUAAUACCCGGUUGGGAUGACGGUACCCAAAGAAUAAGCACCGGCUAACUUCGUGCCAGCAGCCGCGGUAAUACGAAGGGUGCAAGCGUUACUCGGAAUUACUGGGCGUAAAGCGUGCGUAGGUGGUCGUUUAAGUCCGUUGUGAAAGCCCUGGGCUCAACCUGGGAACUGCAGUGGAUACUGGGCGACUAGAGUGUGGUAGAGGGUAGCGGAAUUCCUGGUGUAGCAGUGAAAUGCGUAGAGAUCAGGAGGAACAUCCAUGGCGAAGGCAGCUACCUGGACCAACACUGACACUGAGGCACGAAAGCGUGGGGAGCAAACAGGAUUAGAUACCCUGGUAGUCCACGCCCUAAACGAUGCGAACUGGAUGUUGGGUGCAAUUUGGCACGCAGUAUCGAAGCUAACGCGUUAAGUUCGCCGCCUGGGGAGUACGGUCGCAAGACUG